rnacentral:lncRNA from 1 species
CGACUAAAUGACGAAUUUAUUCUACAAAUUAUAGAACUAACUACAAUUAGACAAACUAAUAAAACAGUAAAUAACAACAAAUAUUAAUCAAUAGCUUGCUUUUCUAUUUCAUUUAAAACUUCAACUUCUAAUUCGAGCUUACAUCAACACAUAGUUUUUCGAAUGUGUACCUGGUAUGUAGAACAGAAAAAUUGGGUAAGCAAUCAGCAACAAUAUAACAAUAGAAAACCCAACACACUAGCUUCAAUACAUCAAUCAAGAAAUCCCAGCAACACGGAGAAAACCAGUAAAAAAAUAGAGAAGAAAACUAAUCUAGAAAUCUCUUCGUGUUUUCUCUUUCUAUCUUUGAACUCUCUUCAACUCUCAAAAGAAACUCUCCAAAAUUAAAUUUUGUCUGUGUAUACUGAAUGUAUCAAGAAUGUAUAUCAAGUGUAUACCGCUCUCUCCUCCCCC